rnacentral:rRNA from 1 species
GAGUUUGAUCGUGGCUCAGGAUGAACGCUGGCGGCGUGCCUAAUACAUGCAAGUCGAGCGAACAGACGAGGAGCUUGCUCCUCUGACGUUAGCGGCGGACGGGUGAGUAACACGUGGAUAACCUACCUAUAAGACUGGGAUAACUUCGGGAAACCGGAGCUAAUACCGGAUAAUAUAUUGAACCGCAUGGUUCAAUAGUGAAAGACGGUUUUGCUGUCACUUAUAGAUGGAUCCGCGCCGCAUUAGCUAGUUGGUAAGGUAACGGCUUACCAAGGCAACGAUGCGUAGCCGACCUGAGAGGGUGAUCGGCCACACUGGAACUGAGACACGGUCCAGACUCCUACGGGAGGCAGCAGUAGGGAAUCUUCCGCAAUGGGCGAAAGCCUGACGGAGCAACGCCGCGUGAGUGAUGAAGGUCUUCGGAUCGUAAAACUCUGUUAUUAGGGAAGAACAAAUGUGUAAGUAACUAUGCACGUCUUGACGGUACCUAAUCAGAAAGCCACGGCUAACUACGUGACAGCCG